rnacentral:rRNA from 1 species
ACCAGACUCCUACGGGAGGCAGCAGUGGGGGAUAUUGCACAAUGGGGGAAACCCUGAUGCAGCGACGCCGCGUGGGUGAAGAAGUAUUUCGGUAUGUAAAGCCCUCUCAGCAGGGAAGAAAGAAGACGGUACCUGACUAAGAAGCCCCGGCUAACUACGUGCCAGCAGCCGCGGUAAUACGUAGGGGGCGAGCGUUAUCCGGAUUCACUGGGUGUAAAGGGAGCGUAGACGGCCGUGCAAGCCAGGAGUGAAAGCCCGGGGCCCAACCCCGGGACUGCUCUUGGAACUGUGCGGCUGGAGUGCGGGAGGGGCAGGCGGAAUUCCUGGUGUAGCGGUGAAAUGCGUAGAUAUCAGGAGGAACACCGGCGGCGAAGGCGGCCUGCUGGACCGCGACUGACGUUGAGGCUCGAAAGCGUGGGGAGCGAACAGGAUUAGAUACCCGUGUAGC